GAUGAACGCUAGCGGCAGGCCUAAUACAUGCAAGUCGAACGGUGUCCUCGGACAUAGUGGCGCACGGGUGCGUAACACGUAUGCAACCUACCUUACAUUGGGGGAUAGCCUUUCGAAAGGGAGAUUAAUACCGCAUAAGACAGUAGCUGGGCAUCCAGCAGCUGUUAAAGAUUUAUCGAUGUAAGCUGGGCAUGCGUCCAAUUAGCUAGUUGGUGAGGUAACGGCUCACCAAGGCAAUGAUUGGUAGGGGAACUGAGAGGUCAAUCCCCCACACGGGCACUGAGAUACGGGCCAGACUCCUACGGGAGGCAGCAGUAGGGAAUAUUGGGCAAUGGACGCAAGUCUGACCCAGCCAUGCCGCGUGCAGGAUGAAGGCGUUAUGCGUUGUAAACUGCUUUUAUACAGGAAGAAACGACUGUUGCGAGAGGCAUUGACGGUACUGUAUGAAUAAGCACCGGCUAACUCCGUGCCAGCCGCCGCAGUAACAC
rnacentral:rRNA from 1 species